UACGUAGGGGGCAAGCGUUGUCCGGAUUUACUGGGUGUAAAGGGCGUGUAGCCGGGCUGACAAGUCAGAUGUGAAAUUCCGGGGCUCAACCCCGGACCUGCAUUUGAAACUGUUGGUCUUGAGUAUCGGAGAGGUCAUCGGAAUUCCUAGUGUAGCGGUGAAAUGCGUAGAUAUUAGGAAGAACACCAGUGGCGAAGGCGGAUGACUGGACGACAACUGACGGUGAGGCGCGAAAGCGUGGGGAGCAAACAGG
rnacentral:rRNA from 1 species